CCUACGGGUGGCAGCAGUGAGGAAUAUUGGUCAAUGGGCGGGAGCCUGAACCAGCCAAGUCGCGUGAGGGAUUAAGGUCCUGCGUAUCGUAAACCUCUUUUGUCAGGGAGCAAAGGUCGGGACGUGUCCCCGGCUGAGUGUACCCGAAGAAAAAGCAUCGGCAAACUCCGUCCCAGCAGCCGAGGUAAUACGGAGGAUUCAAGCGUUAUCCGGAUUUAUUGGGUUUAAAGGGUGCGUAGGCGGGGCAUGAAGGCAGAGGUAAAAUUCGGGGGCCAAACCCCGCACUGGCCUUGGAACUGGCUGGCUUGAGUGUGUGAGCAGUAUGCGGAAUGUGUGGUGUAGCGGUGAAAUGCAUAGAGAUCACGCAGAACACCGAUUGCGAAGGCAGCAUACC
rnacentral:rRNA from 1 species